GUGGAGGUUUUUGUGUACGAAGAAAAGGCGUGAGGAGUGGCACGGAACCCGUUCAAGCCCAAGAAUUUUAUGCAGAUCUUGCGCGCGGUCCGUUUACUUACUACAAACAAUGAGUAAGAUGUACGCCGGUCGUUUUCUCACUCUCGAGAGA
rnacentral:sRNA from 2 species